CCUACGGGAGGCAGCAGUGGGGAAUAUUGGGCAAUGGGCGCAAGCCUGAACCAGCAACGCCGCGUGAAGGAAGAAGGCUUUCGGGUUGGAAACUUCUUUUGUCAGGGAAGAAGCACGUGACGGUACCUGACGAAUAAGCCACGGCUAAGUACGUGCCAGCAGCAGCGGUAAUACGUAGGUGGCAAGCGUUAUCCGGAUUUAAGGGGUGUAAAGGGCGUGUAGGCGGGGAAGCAAGUCAGAUGUGAAAACCACGGGCUCAACCUGUGGCCUGCAUUUGAAACUGUUAUUCUGGAGUGCUGGAGAGGCAAUCGGAAUUCCGUGUGUAGCGGUGAAAUGCUUAGAUAUACGGAGGAACACCAGUGGCGAAGGCAGAUUGCUGGACAGUAACUGACGCUGAGGCGCGAAAGCGUGGGGAGCAAACAGGAUUAGAUACCCCAGUAGUC
rnacentral:rRNA from 1 species